AGAGUUUGAUCCUGGCUCAGAAUGAACGCUGGCGGCGUGCUUAACACAUGCAAGUCGAACGGUAACAGGAGGAAGCUUGCUUUCUUGCUGACGAGUGGCGCACGGGUGAGUAAUGCAUAGGUAACGUGCCCCUUAGUCUGGGAUAGCCACUGGAAACGGUGAAUAAUACUGGAUACUCCUUCUACCUUGAUGGUAGUUGGGAAAGUUUUUCGCUAAGGGAUCGGCCUAUGUUGUAUCAGGUAGUUGGUGAGGUAAUGGCUCACCAAGCCUAUGACACAUAGCGGGUCUGAGAGGAUGAUCCGCCACACUGGUACUGAGACACGGACCAGACUCCUACGGGAGGCAGCAGUGGGGAAUAUUGCACAAUGGACGAAAGUCUGAUGCAGCAACGCCGCGUGGAGGAUGACACAUUUCGGUGCGUAAACUCCUUUUAUAUGAGAAGAUAAUGACGGUAUCAUAUGAAUAAGCACCGGCUAACUCCGUGCCAGCAGCCGCGGUAAUACGGAGGGUGCAAGCGUUAUUCGGAAUCACUGGGCGUAAAGGGUGCGUAGGCGGUUUGGAAAGUCAGAUGUGAAAGCCUACAGCUUAACUGUAGAACUGCAUUUGAAACUUCCAGACUAGAAUACUGAAGGGGCAGAUGGAAUUAGUGGUGUAGGGGUAAAAUCCGUAGAUAUCACUAGGAAUACCGAAAGCGAAAGCGAUCUGCUGGGAAGUUAUUGACGCUGAGGCACGAAAGCGUGGGGAGCAAACGGGAUUAGAUACCCCGGUAGUCCACGCCCUAAACGAUGAAUGCUAGUCGUCGGAAAGCUCGUCUUUUCGGUGAUGCAGUUAACACAUUAAGCAUUCCGCCUGGGGAGUACGGUCGCAAGAUUAAAACUCAAAGGAAUUGACGG
rnacentral:rRNA from 1 species